rnacentral:snoRNA from 1 species
UGCUGAGUGGGGUUCCAGGCUGCUUCCAUGUUCUGUUAAUUAAACAUUGAAAUUGGCUGAGAGAAACGAUUAAAUGGAAAGUGUUAUUCUGUUCAUAUACUGAUAGCUGCUCACA